rnacentral:rRNA from 1 species
GAUGAACGCUGGCGGCGUGCCUAAUACAUGCAAGUCGAGCGAACAGAUGAGGAGCUUGCUCCUCUGACGUUAGCGGCGGACGGGUGAGUAACACGUGGAUAACCUACCUAUAAGACUGGGAUAACUUCGGGAAACCGGAGCUAAUACCGGAUAAUAUAUUGAACCGCAUGGUUCAAUAGUGAAAGACGGUUUUGCUGUCACUUCUAGAUGGAUCCGCGCCGCAUUAGCUAGUUGGUAAGGUAACGGCAUACCAAGGCAACGAUGCGUAGCCGACCGGCGAGGCUGAUCGGCCACACUGGAACUGGGCCACGGUCCAGGCUACUACGGGAGGCAGCAGUAGGGAAUCUUCCGCAAUGGGCGAAAGCCUGACGGAGCAACGCCGCGUGAGUGAUGAAGAUCUUCGGAUCGUAAAACUCUGUUAUUAGGGAAAAACAAAUGUGUAAGUAACUAUGCACGUCUUGACGGUACCUGAUCAGAAAGCCACGGCUAACUACGUG